rnacentral:lncRNA from 1 species
GCAUGUCUAAAAAAAGGUCGUAUUGGUCCGACUGAAGUUGGGGUUGGUAGUUUAGAAAUUAUUUUAACCUUCACCUUGUCUACCUUGAGGCCCCUUUCGGAUACAAUGUCCUAAAAUGAUUCCUUUUCGAAACAUAAAAUGACUUUUCUCCCAACUCAGGACAAAGUUUGUUUUUUUUAAAACACUUCAGCACUUCAGACAAAUUCUAAAGAUGAUUCUCAAAAGUAAUUUUGAAUAUAGA